AUAUAUAGAAAACAUAGUGUUUCUGGCCGCUCUUCUCUGCUCUGGGUCUUUUCUCCUUUCCUGAAAGGUGGGCACUUGCUUAACCUCCUCCUCUGAUUCCUCAACCAAACAGCCCGGAAAACAUACAACAACCCUGUGAUUCCUGAACACUUUCCGGCUCCCCUUCCUCUUCGGAAGAUGAGGAAACCCUAACAGAUGGCUCUCUGUCAGGAGGGAUCGGGUGGUGCCUUCCUUCCUACAGAAAGAACAGCCCUGCUCUCCACAAGGAGACUCCAGGUGACUAUGUCCCGAUGAUGAUGAUGAUGAUGAUGAUGACGACGACGUUUGUUACCUGUCAUCGUGGUGGAAGGAGAGCCCCGAAGGCCACGGUGGUCUCCGGGGGGGAGGCUCAUGGGAAAGUGCCUGUCAAGCCGGGUGAUGUCACAGUGGGAGGGAAGGCAACCGCAGGAGGAGACCUCCUUGGACCGGGGGGGGUGGGGGUGGUGUUGUUGUUGUUAUUAUUAUUAUUUAUUUACAGUAUUGAUAUUCCGCCCUUCUUUCUCAGGGCGAAUCACAAUGCGCACAUAGACAUGGCAAACAUUCAAUGCCAUUACUAGACAUACGACAUAUAGAGACAGACACAGAGGCCAUUUAACAUUUUCCAGCUUCAUUCCGGCCACCACUUCCCCGUCCACUUAUGACACCGAGCCCUUGAUGGAGUACAUCCUCAUUCCUUUCCGCACGCUGCUGGAAGUUUUUAUGGUGUCAUAAAUUAGUUCAGUUGGCCUCCCCUCGUAAAGCGGUACCUAAAUUUACUACUACUGUCUUUCAAGUUGCUUAGGCCAACAGCGAGCCAGGCUUUUAAAUGGCAGGGAAGGGUCACCUAGUGGCAGGGAAGGGUCACCUUCUGCCCCUCUAGGGUCACCUACUGUCCUGCUAAGGGCACCUGCUGUUUUAUUGUUUUAUUGCUGAUAUUGUAUUGUUGUAUCGGGCAUGGCCCCAUGUAAGCCGCUCCGAGUCCCUCCGGGGAGAUGGGGCGGGAUAUAAAAAUAAAGUUAUUAUUAUUAUUAUUA